CACGAGGGACACCCUAGCAGCCGCUACCGUAGGCGACGCCCGAGUCGGGGCGGGAACGUGGUGGCGUUCCGCCAGUUCUUGGGGCCCUCUGGACUGCCUUGAGUUGGGGGUGGAGCUCGGAGCUACUGAGUGCCUCUUCCCAGUCGAACUAACUGGUGACUGGUCCCCGAGGAUCCGGAGAGUAGCAGAAUUCGCGACGUGUCCUGCGCUGCCCAGGGGUUCAGCUGUUUCGACAAUGCUUCGCAGCGGCUCGGUUACCCAUACCAGCGUACUUGGUGUCUUCUCCAUCUGGUACUCUGGGGUUCUGUCGAUCAAGUGUUCUGCACGACCGAGCGUGCUUGUCAGCGAGUUGCGUUCUCACCGCAAUCGAGAUGUUCAACCAUUGCAGUAACGGUGGACCAAGAGCAGCAGAGUUCAAGGACUAUCAAAUGCUGGGUGAAGAGGAGAAGGCUGGAGGUCGGCGAAAGUGAAGGUGAUUCCGUGAGCGGCUCCUGCGGUGUGCGUCUGCUUCGAAGGAGAACUCGCCCAAAUCGGGGAAGAAGCGUCGAUUAAAGGCAGCCGCGACGUCAACGAGUGCUUACGCGAACGAAUGCGUGACCACCCUGUACGCAUUGGAUAUGCCCCUAGACUCUGCGCUAUAUUUAUGCGCUGGACGUCGUAUAUGUACAUAUUU